rnacentral:rRNA from 1 species
UACGUAGGGUGCAGGCGUUAAUCGGAAUUACUGGGCGUAAAGCGUGCGUAGGCGGUUUGUUAAGACAGGUGUGAAAUCCCCGGGCUUAACCUGGGAACUGCGCUUGUUACUGGCAGACUGGAGUGUGGCGAGAGGGGGGUGGAAUUCCAGGUGUAGCAGUGAAAUGCGUAGAUAUCUGGAGGAACACCGAUGGCGAAGGCAGCCCCCUGGGCUAACACUGACGCUGAUGCACGAAAGCGUGGGGAGCAAACAGG